rnacentral:rRNA from 1 species
ACGGUCUGCUAGCUCAUACACAUGCAGUCGUACGAUGAUAGACCCAGCUUGCUGGGUGGAUUAGUGGCGAACGGGUGAGUAACACGUGAGUAACCUGCCCUUAACUCUGGGAUAAGCCUGGGAAACUGGGUCUAAUACCGGAUAUGACUCCUCAUCGCAUGGUGGGGGGUGGAAAGCUUUUUGUGGUUUUGGAUGGACUCGCGGCCUAUCAGCUUGUUGGUGAGGUAAUGGCUUACCAAGGCGACGACGGGUAGCCGGCCUGAGAGGGUGACCGGCCACACUGGGACUGAGACACGGCCCAGACUCCUACGGGAGGCAGCAGUGGGGAAUAUUGCACAAUGGGCGCAAGCCUGAUGCAGCGACGCCGCGUGAGGGAUGACGGCCUUCGGGUUGUAAACCUCUUUCAGUAGGGAAGAAGCGAAAGUGACGGUACCUGCAGAAGAAGCGCCGGCUAACUACGUGCCAGCAGCCGCGGUAAUACGUAGGGCGCAAGCGUUAUCCGGAAUUAUUGGGCGUAAAGAGCUCGUAGGCGGUUUGUCGCGUCUGCCGUGAAAGUCCGGGGCUCAACUCCGGAUCUGCGGUGGGUACGGGCAGACUAGAGUGAUGUAGGGGAGACUGGAAUUCCUGGUGUAGCGGUGAAAUGCGCAGAUAUCAGGAGGAACACCGAUGGCGAAGGCAGGUCUCUGGGCAUUAAACUGACGCUGAGGAGCGAAAGCAUGGGGAGCGAACAGGGAUUAAAUACCCUGGUAAUCCAUGCCCGAAACGUUGGGCACUGGGUGUGGGGGACAUUCCUCGGUUUUCCCCGCCGUACCAACGCAUUAACUGCCCCCCCCGGGGAGACAGCCCCGGGGUUAAACUCAAAGAAUUGAG